rnacentral:rRNA from 1 species
AUUGAAUGCUGGCGGCAGGCCUAACACAUGCAAGUCGAACGAGUGGCGGACGGGUGAGUAAUGUCUGGGAAACUGCCCGAUGGAGGGGGAUAACUACUGGAAACGGUAGCUAAUACCGCAUACCAUCGGAUGUGCCCAGAUGGGAUUAGCUUGUAGGUGAGGUAACGGCUCACCUAGGCGACGAUCCCUAGCUGGUCUGAUAGGAUGACCAGCCACAAGGGAACUGAGACACGGUUCAGACUCCUAAGGUAGGCAGCAGGGGGGAAUAUUGCACAAUGGUGGCAAUCCUAAUGCAGCCAUGCCGCGUGUAUGAAGAAGGCCUUCGGGUUGUAAAGUACUUUCAGCGGAGAGGCGUUAUCCGCAGAAGAAGCACCGGCUAACUCCGUGCCAGCAGCCGCGGUAAUAC